rnacentral:rRNA from 1 species
GAUGAACGCUGGCGGCGUGCCUAAUACAUGCAAGUCGAGCGAACGGACGAGAAGCUUGCUUUUCUGAUGUUAGCGGCGGACGGGUUUGUAACACGUGGAUAACCUACCUAUAAGACUGGGAUAACUUCGGGAAACCGGAGCUAAUACCGGAUAAUAUUUUGAACCGCAUGGUUCAAAAGUGAAAGACGGUCUUGCUGUCACUUAUAGAUGGAUCCGCGCUGCAUUAGCUAGUUGGUAAGGUAACGGCUUACCAAGGCAACGAUGCAUAGCCGACCUGAGAGGGUGAACGGACACACUGGAACUGAGAAACGGUACAGACUCCUACGGGAGGCAGCAGUAGGGAAUCUUCCGCGAUGGGCGAAAGCCUGACGGAGCAAAGCCGCGUGAGUGAUGAAGGUCUUCGGAUCGUAAAACUAUGUUAUUAGGGAAGAACAUAUGUGUAAGUAACUGUGCACAUCUUGACGGUACCUAAUCAGAAAGCCACGGCUAACUACGUG